UUAUUAUUAUUAUUAUUAUUAUUAUUAUUAUUAUUAUUAUUAUUCAAAUUGUAAAUAUGGAUGAUGAGUAUGCUAAGCUUAUAAGAAGGAUGAACCCACCCAGGGUUGUGAUUGACAAUAAUGCAUGUGAAGAUGCUACUCUUAUUCAGGUAGACAGUGUCAACAAGCAUGGGAUUCUCCUGGAUGUUGUGCAAGUUCUCUCAGAUAUGAAUCUUAUCAUAACAAAGGCCUAUAUCUCCUCUGAUGGGUUGUGGUUCAUGGAUGUGUUUUAUGUGAUUGAUCGUAAUGGAAACAAGAUCAGAGAUACAGAAAUCAUUGAUUAUAUUCAGAGGAGACUUGAAAACAAUCCCAGCUUUGCACCCUCUAUGAGAGAGUCUGUUGGGGUUGUACCUUCUGAAGAGCACACCUCGAUUGAACUAACUGGUAUUGACAGGCCUGGUUUACUGUCCGAAGUCUGUGCUGUUCUCACCGACCUUCACUGUAAUGUGGUGAAUGCUGAGAUAUGGACACAUAAUAAUAGAGCUGCUGCUGUAGUUCAUGUGACAGAUGACUCCACUGGGUGCGCUAUCAAUAAUCCGUCCCGAAUCUCUAAAAUAAGGGACUUGCUUUGUAAUGUUCUUAGAGGGAGCAGUGAUCUAAAGACAGCAAGAAUGACACUAUCACCACCUGGAGUUACAAAUUGGGACAGAAGAUUACAUCAGAUUAUGUUUGCUGACAGGGACUAUGAAAAAAGGGUUGAAAGGGUAGGGCUAAGGGGAAGUAGAAAUGGAGAUACAAGUUCUUUUCCUCAUGUUUCUAUCAUAGACUGUAUUGAGAAAGAUUACACUGUGGUUACCAUGAGAGCAAAAGAUAGGCCGAAAUUAUUGUUCGAUAUUGUUUGCACUUUAACAGACAUGGAGUAUGUAGUAUAUCAUGGUGUUGUCCAGACAAUAAGAACAGAGGCUUAUCAGGUUUGCCAACUUUCUCGGUUUUGCUAUUAUGAAAUAAUGGUUCACCUUAUUAGCUUGGUACAUGAAAUUAGUGUUGGUAGCUAGACUAACAUAACUUUCCUUCAGGUAAUAUUUUUACAGAAAUUAAAUGGAUUUUGUAUUGUAAUAAGGUCAUCUGACUUGCUUUUUCUGCAUAAUUUUUUCUCUAAUGGAGCUUCCUCCCCUUAUCUAGGAGUUUUAUAUUCGGCAUGUUGAUGGCUUUCCCAUAAGCUCAGAGGCUGAGCGAGAACGUCUUAUACAGUGUCUUGAAGCAGCCAUUGAAAGGCGAGCAUCUGAGGGGAUGGAGUUGGAGUUGACCACAAUAGAUCGUGUUGGACUACUCUCAGAUAUCACAAGGAUAUUCCGAGAGAACAGUUUAUGUAUCAAACGAGCAGAAAUAUCAACAGAAAAUGGAAAGGCUAAAGAUACUUUUUAUGUCACAGAUGUGACAGGUAACCCAGUUGAUCCCAAGAUUAUUGAUUCCAUUCGCAGGCAGAUUGGUGACACGGCAUUGCAGGUGAAGCAUAACUCAAAUCUUUCACAAAAGUCCUCUCAAUCAACAACAAUUGGAUUUCUCUUUGGAAACCUUUUUAAGGCUGGAUCUUUUCAGAAUUUAAAGUCGAUGAGAUCUUAUUCUUAAGUCCUCCAUUGUUAAGUCUCAGCAUUUUCAUCAUGUUUCAAGUCAAGUGAAAAUGAAUAGAAGUAGAUGACUGUUUCCUCCCCUAAACAGAUGGGGCUUGGGAUUGAUACUGUACAGGAGAAAAAGCUUAAACACCUACUUGUAUUGUCUGUGUAAUUAGUUGUGCAUAGUAGCAUGUUACUUGAGAUGUAUAUAAAGCAGUCUAUGUAGAUAAUCAAGUCCAGUAGAGUAAAAAAAUACUUGUAGGUGGUAUAAUUUGUGGAACAAAUGUGAAUAUGGGCUUGUACAUGGAGUAAAGAGUACUUUUAGUUGAUGAAAUAAAAUGAAAAAAGUGCUGUGAUUUGUAUAUAAUUUGGAACAGGUGUGAAUAUGGGUUUGUACAUGGAGUGAAGAGUAGUUUUAGAUGAUGAAAUAAAG
rnacentral:lncRNA from 1 species